rnacentral:rRNA from 1 species
GACGAACGCUGGCGGCGCGCUUAACACAUGCAAGUCGAGCGAGAACCAGGACUUCGGUCCUGGGGACAGCGGCGAACGGGUGAGUAACACGUGGGUAAUCUGCCCUCGAUUCUGGGAUAGCCCGGGGAGACUCGGAUUAAUACCGGAUAGCCUUUCAAGCUUUCGGGCGUGAAAGAAAAGGUAGCUUCGGCCUCCGAUCGAG